AAUAAAUACAGAAGGCCAAUGAAAUAUUGAUAGUGUUAAUUGGGAUCAGAUAAUAAAAAACAAAAAUCAAACCAUGAUAUACAUUUGCACCUAACAUGAUGGGGAAGAUUAAAAAGCUUGGGUGGGGGGUGUGAGUAGAGUGGGUUUUCCACAUUCUAUCGGUAGGGUUGUAAGUCAGGGUGGCUUUUUGGGGAGGGUGAUUUAUAUGAUGUAUCACAAAGGAAUUUGCUUUAAAGAGAGCUUGCAGCGCGAUAUUCCACGUUGUCCAUUGUGGUUGCACUGCGGUCAGUUGAUAAGACGACUCUCCACUUUCAUUAACACGGAACUGCUUCAGUUAGGGUCUGUAGAGCCAGUUCGGUACCGUUUUGCAGAUUGGUGGCAGGUCACGUCUCGCGGUAAUUGGUGAGACUCGGGAUAAUUGCUGCCACCGCUCCCCUGUGGCCGCCAUUUUGUACAGACUGAGCCCAUUCAGUGUUUUGCUGCCAACUGCAGUCUCUUUGCUUGACCCGUGGCCAGGUCCAAACCCAUGCUCCAUCAGCGCACUGGAAGGAAGCAGAUGGCUGAGGGACACGAUCCGUGGAACGGGGGUAAAAGCUCCUACUCCACAGUGCUUUCCUGUGCUUGAAGAUGUCCCAUGUCCAGAGUCACCCAUCGGCCCCUCACACGACAGAGGAGCAGCCUUGGUGACUGUGAUUAGCAGCCCCCAGGACUUGACUUCUCUGGAUGCCCAGGAGAGCCCGGUCCGGGGAGUUGCGGCUGCCCAGGACCUGGGGACACUGGGACACCUGGCCCCUGUGGCUGGGGACUCCCUGUGGGCAACAUGCCACCACCCGACCUCCAGGCCUGUGUGGAGGGUGCUGCCAGGCGCCGGGGCCCAGUUGCAGAGCUGCCAGCCCCAUCCCCCGCCACAUCCUGUGGGACCAGCUCUGGGCCUCCCCGCAGGCUGUGUCCAGCUCAGUGGCCUGGCUGCCCUUGCUCCACGCUGGGCACGCAGUGAGGGCACCCAACCGGCUAUGAAGGGUGCAGAGUCUGUGUCUGUCCUUCUGUCCACGGACAUAGUGUUAGCUACUGCAAGCCGUGCUGCUGUGAACAUGGCUGUGCCUGGUCACGGUGAGGGGAGACUUUACCUCUUGGGAAGAUGCCUAGCUCUACUCCGACCUAAAGAAGGACAAACUGAGUCAUUUGUGGGAAAACAGAUGCACCUGGAGACCACCACGUUAAGUGAGAGAUGUCAGACGCACAAGCUUCAAUAUUACAGGGUCUUUUACACAAGCAACCCAAAGUACCAAUGA
rnacentral:lncRNA from 1 species